UGUUUUUGGCUUUACAUUAUGUCUCUCUCCAUUAAAAUUAAGCUACCCUAAAAGUUGGACACUGUUCAUUAUUUUUUGUUAGUAGGCAAACUUAAAAAUUCAGCUGAGAAUCAAAGAAUUAUUUUCCCGAUCUAAAGUCUUGAUCAGGGUCACGUUGAUUGAGGGCAGCAAACUAAGUGCUGCUGUCUGCUGUCUAAUUGCAAUAAUGAAAUCUUUGCUCUCUGUGCAGGGUGUACCUGGAAGCCCGGGUUCUCGAGGUUCACCCGGGGAAAGAGGUCGAUCUCUACCUGGACAGAAAGGAGACGAGGUACAACCACGCCCCCUUCCUCAGCGGCAUUUCUUUAAACUGAAUCAGCAGCACGUGAAGAGCCUGUUGCCCGAGGCAAUAGCGCUGUGCAAAAGUCACAUUUGACAACUUGUUUCGGGCAGAGCUCUGUUUGCCACAUUCUUCUGUUUGACUGGUUUACCUUCUGUUUUCAUUUCACUACAAACUGUAUAAAUAGUACUUCACCACUGACAAUUGCUGCAGCAAUACAGCAGCAAGAGCAACACAUCAGUACUGUGUAGUAUGUGCAGUGCCAGUACUGUAGCAGUUUGUGUGGUCCACAGGGGGAUCAGGGUUUGCAGGGACGUCCAGGGCCGUUUGAGUAUGUUGACCCUCCCGAAGACCUCUACAUCAAAGGAGACAAAGUAGGUGGAGCCUCACUCUGUUACAGCCUAUCAGAUGACACAUUUAAGGGGACUUCCUGUUUCUGUUAAACUUUAUAGCUAAUUAGCCAGCUCGAUGCAUAGUGACAUUCAGAGUUGCUAACAGCACAAAGCUUUCUGCAUGAAGCCUGUGUAGACCUCAAACCUCAGGAAGUAGGAGCCUUUAUUUUUAAAAACUGGUUCUAUGUAGGUUUAUUGUAAAAUUCGAGUAGCUAGUGUUUUUAAUGCCUGGUACAAAUGUUGGUUUCUAAUAUCUCUUGGAGUCCAAUGUUGGGAGGUUUGCUGUCGGUUUCUUAUGCUGGUUUCCAUUUAGGGGCUCUAAUGUUGCAUUCUGCUUGGAUAUUCCAGGGCUCCCGGGGAGUUAAAGGAGUCUGUGGAAUUGACGGACUGCGGUAGGUUAAAUAUCUUAUUUAGGAACUUGAAGUUCUCCUUGUUGUUGGAUUCUUGGGCACCAGGC
rnacentral:lncRNA from 1 species